rnacentral:lncRNA from 1 species
UCAGGGUCCAAACAAAAUUACAAUCAAAUCAGUCAAUACCCAAACAUAAAAGCGGGCUCGACCACCGCUGUUGAGUGCCAAAACUAAAUACAACAUUACUAGCCUUUAACCACCACAAAGAAGUUGAUUUCACUUUAUCUAGCAAUUGUGGCAACGUACUUUGUCUAUUUCUAAAAAGCCUAUCAUUCCUUUCAUUCCACAACACCGAAACACAAAGCAACCAAAUCAAGUGGAAGAAAGACCGUCGCCCUCUCGAACAACCGGCAUAAUUAAUAAAUUGCACAAAAUGAUCUGAAG